UGAUCUUGGGCUCAUAGACUGAUUUCCUGACGGCGUGCCUAAUACAUGCAAGUCGAACGCAAAACUUUUAACUGAUGCUUGCAUCGACCUAAAGUUUUGAGUGGCGGACGGGUGAGUAACACGUGGGUAACCUGCCCAUCAGAGGGGGACAACACUUGGAAACAGGUGCUAAUACCGCAUAAUAYAGAGAACCGCAUGGUUCUCUGUUGAAAGGCGCUUCUGGUGUCGCUGAUGGAUGGACCCGCGGUGCAUUAGCUAGACGGUGAGGUAACGGCUCACCGUGGCGAUGAUGCAUAGCCGACCUGAGAGGGUGAUCGGCCACAUUGGGACUGAGACACGGCCCAAACUCCUACGGGAGGCAGCAGUAGGGAAUCUUCGGCAAUGGACGAAAGUCUGACCGAGCAACGCCGCGUGAGUGAAGAAGGUUUUCGGAUCGUAAAACUCUGUUGUUAGAGAAGAACAGGAGCGAUAGUAACUGCUCGCUCUUUGACGGUAUCUAACCAGAAAGCCACGGCUAACUACGUGCCAGCAGCCGCGGUAAUACGUAGGUGGCAAGCGUUGUCCGGAUUUAUUGGGCGUAAAGCGAGCGCAGGCGGUCUCUUAAGUCUGAUGUGAAAGCCCACGGCUUAACCGUGGAGGGUCAUUGGAAACUGGGGGACUUGAGUGCAGAAGAGGAAAGUGGAACUCCAUGUGUAGCGGUGGAAUGCGUAGAUAUAUGGAAGAACACCAGUGGCGAAGGCGGCUUUCUGGUCUGUAACUGACGCUGAGGCUCGAAAGCGUGGGGAGCAAACAGGAUUAGAUACCCUGGUAGUCC
rnacentral:rRNA from 1 species